rnacentral:rRNA from 1 species
AGCAAACCCGCUGAAUUUAAGCAUAUAAGUAAGCGGAGGAUAAGAAACUAAAUAGGAUUCCCUCAGUAAUGGCGAAUGAACAGGGAUAAGCUCAGCAUGGAAAUUGGGGCCCUCGGCCUUGAAUUGUAGUCUUGAGAUGUGUUACCAACGGAGGCGCAGAUGUAAGCCUCUUGGAAAAGAGCGUCAGGGAGGGUGAGAGUCCCGUAUGUCAUCUGCAGUUCUCUGUGCACGGUGCAUGUUCUAAGAGUCACGUUCCUCGGGAUUGGAGCGCAAAUUGGGUGGUAAAUUUCAUCUAAAGCUAAAUAUUGGUUCGAGACCGAUAGCAAACAAGUACCAUGAGGGAAAGGUGAAAAGGACUUUGAAAAGAGAGUUAAAAGUGCCUGAAAUUGCUGAAAGGGAAGCGAAUGGAACCAGUUGUUCUUGGUGAGUAUUGGUGUUGUCUAAAGUGAUGGCUUGCCACUUCAACGCAAGUGUGGUGGCAGGUUUUGAUCUGGAUGCGAUACUGCUUCUCGCCUUGCAUGUCAACGUCAGUUCAUAAUUGAGGAAAACUCUAAGGACAUGGUAAUUCGCUUCCGAGUGACUGAAUGUCCUCAGUUGAACUCAUUUUUGAACUGCUCUCUGUGUGUGCUGGUAGCACUGCUUCAUGUGCUUGCCUGCGAUCUUCUGCUCUGCAUGAAGGUUGUUGGUGCCAGGAGCAUGUCCUUGACAUUAGAACGAUGACGAAAUGGUUUUAUUCGACCCGUCUU